GGGUUGUGAGGUUAAGCGACUAAGCGUACACGGUGGAUGCCCUGGCAGUCAGAGGCGAUGAAGGACGUGCUAAUCUGCGAUAAGCGUCGGUAAGGUGAUAUGAACCGUUAUAACCGGCGAUUUCCGAAUGGGGAAACCCAGUGUGUUUCGACACACUAUCAUUAACUGAAUCCAUAGGUUAAUGAGGCGAACCGGGGGAACUGAAACAUCUAAGUACCCCGAGGAAAAGAAAUCAACCGAGAUUCCCCCAGUAGCGGCGAGCGAACGGGGAGCAGCCCAGAGCCUGAAUCAGUGUGUGUGUUAGUGGAAGCGUCUGGAAAGGCGCGCGAUACAGGGUGACAGCCCCGUACACAAAAAUGCACAUAUUGUGAGCUCGAUGAGUAGGGCGGGACACGUGGUAUCCUGUCUGAAUAUGGGGGGACCAUCCUCCAAGGCUAAAUACUCCUGACUGACCGAUAGUGAACCAGUACCGUGAGGGAAAGGCGAAAAGAACCCCGGCGAGGGGAGUGAAAAAGAACCUGAAACCGUGUACGUACAAGCAGUGGGAGCCUCUUUAUGGGGUGACUGCGUACCUUUUGUAUAAUGGGUCAGCGACUUAUAUUCUGUAGCAAGGUUAACCGAAUAGGGGAGCCGAAGGGAAACCGAGUCUUAACUGGGCGUUAAGUUGCAGGGUAUAGACCCGAAACCCGGUGAUCUAGCCAUGGGCAGGUUGAAGGUUGGGUAACACUAACUGGAGGACCGAACCGACUAAUGUUGAAAAAUUAGCGGAUGACUUGUGGCUGGGGGUGAAAGGCCAAUCAAACCGGGAGAUAGCUGGUUCUCCCCGAAAGCUAUUUAGGUAGCGCCUCGUGAAUUCAUCUCCGGGGGUAGAGCACUGUUUCGGCAAGGGGGUCAUCCCGACUUACCAACCCGAUGCAAACUGCGAAUACCGGAGAAUGUUAUCACGGGAGACACACGGCGGGUGCUAACGUCCGUCGUGAAGAGGGAAACAACCCAGACCGCCAGCUAAGGUCCCAAAGUCAUGGUUAAGUGGGAAACGAUGUGGGAAGGCCCAGACAGCCAGGAUGUUGGCUUAGAAGCAGCCAUCAUUUAAAGAAAGCGUAAUAGCUCACUGGUCGAGUCGGCCUGCGCGGAAGAUGUAACGGGGCUAAACCAUGCACCGAAGCUGCGGCAGCGACGCUUAUGCGUUGUUGGGUAGGGGAGCGUUCUGUAAGCCUGUGAAGGUGUGCUGUGAGGCAUGCUGGAGGUAUCAGAAGUGCGAAUGCUGACAUAAGUAACGAUAAAGCGGGUGAAAAGCCCGCUCGCCGGAAGACCAAGGGUUCCUGUCCAACGUUAAUCGGGGCAGGGUGAGUCGACCCCUAAGGCGAGGCCGAAAGGCGUAGUCGAUGGGAAACAGGUUAAUAUUCCUGUACUUGGUGUUACUGCGAAGGGGGGACGGAGAAGGCUAUGUUGGCCGGGCGACGGUUGUCCCGGUUUAAGCGUGUAGGCUGGUUUUCCAGGCAAAUCCGGAAAAUCAAGGCUGAGGCGUGAUGACGAGGCACUACGGUGCUGAAGCAACAAAUGCCCUGCUUCCAGGAAAAGCCUCUAAGCAUCAGGUAACAUCAAAUCGUACCCCAAACCGACACAGGUGGUCAGGUAGAGAAUACCAAGGCGCUUGAGAGAACUCGGGUGAAGGAACUAGGCAAAAUGGUGCCGUAACUUCGGGAGAAGGCACGCUGAUAUGUAGGUGAAGCGACUUGCUCGUGGAGCUGAAAUCAGUCGAAGAUACCAGCUGGCUGCAACUGUUUAUUAAAAACACAGCACUGUGCAAACACGAAAGUGGACGUAUACGGUGUGACGCCUGCCCGGUGCCGGAAGGUUAAUUGAUGGGGUCAGCGCAAGCGAAGCUCUUGAUCGAAGCCCCGGUAAACGGCGGCCGUAACUAUAACGGUCCUAAGGUAGCGAAAUUCCUUGUCGGGUAAGUUCCGACCUGCACGAAUGGCGUAAUGAUGGCCAGGCUGUCUCCACCCGAGACUCAGUGAAAUUGAACUCGCUGUGAAGAUGCAGUGUACCCGCGGCAAGACGGAAAGACCCCGUGAACCUUUACUAUAGCUUGACACUGAACAUUGAGCCUUGAUGUGUAGGAUAGGUGGGAGGCUUAGAAGUGUGGACGCCAGUCUGCAUGGAGCCGACCUUGAAAUACCACCCUUUAAUGUUUGAUGUUCUAACGUGGACCCGUAAUCCGGGUUGCGGACAGUGUCUGGUGGGUAGUUUGACUGGGGCGGUCUCCUCCUAAAGAGUAACGGAGGAGCACGAAGGUUGGCUAAUCCUGGUCGGACAUCAGGAGGUUAGUGCAAUGGCAUAAGCCAGCUUGACUGCGAGCGUGACGGCGCGAGCAGGUGCGAAAGCAGGUCAUAGUGAUCCGGUGGUUCUGAAUGGAAGGGCCAUCGCUCAACGGAUAAAAGGUACUCCGGGGAUAACAGGCUGAUACCGCCCAAGAGUUCAUAUCGACGGCGGUGUUUGGCACCUCGAUGUCGGCUCAUCACAUCCUGGGGCUGAAGUAGGUCCCAAGGGUAUGGCUGUUCGCCAUUUAAAGUGGUACGCGAGCUGGGUUUAGAACGUCGUGAGACAGUUCGGUCCCUAUCUGCCGUGGGCGCUGGAGAACUGAGGGGGGCUGCUCCUAGUACGAGAGGACCGGAGUGGACGCAUCACUGGUGUUCGGGUUGUCAUGCCAAUGGCACUGCCCGGUAGCUAAAUGCGGAAGAGAUAAGUGCUGAAAGCAUCUAAGCACGAAACUUGCCCCGAGAUGAGUUCUCCCUGACCCUUUAAGGGUCCUGAAGGAACGUUGAAGACGACGACGUUGAUAGGCCGGGUGUGUAAGCGCAGCGAUGCGUUGAGCUAACCGGUACUAAUGAACCGUGAGGCUUAACCUUACAACGCCGAAG
rnacentral:rRNA from 1 species